rnacentral:rRNA from 1 species
CGUAGGUAACCUGCCUGGUAGCGGGGGAUAACUAUUGGAAACGAUAGCUAAUACCGCAUAAGAGUAGAUGUUGCAUGACAUUUGCUUAAAAGGUGCAAUUGCAUCACUACCAGAUGGACCUGCGUUGUAUUAGCUAGUUGUGGGGUAACGGCUCACCAAGGCGACGAUACAUAGCCGACCUGAGAGGGUGAUCGGCCACACUGGGACUGAGACACGGCCCAG